rnacentral:sRNA from 1 species
AAUUGCGGGAAGUCCCUUAACCCUCUCCUGCCAAGCCGGCCAUAAAAACAACACCCCGUUGCCCAGGUUAAUAGCCGCGGGUAUGUUAAAAACGCAAAGGAUUGGUUAAUCCGCAGCGAAGCUCCUAAAACUAAAGCAAUNUAGCCAUGGAGAACGUUCAGAGACUAAGUGAUCGUGGGCUAAAGGAGAACUGCCUUUGGCUUAAGAUAGAGUCCGUCCCUCGUAAGAGCGAGCCUUAGGAUAAAAGGCCUAACCAGCCCGGAGCCUAGGGAGCCAAAGCACUUGCUUUGGUGGGGUCUAACGGCCAGCAGCCGCGGUAAUUCCAGCUCCAAUAGCGUAUAUUUAAGUUGUUGCAGUUAAAAAGCUCGUAGUUGGAUUUCGGGUGGGAUGGUGCGGUCCGCCUCUGGUGUGCACUGCUCCGUUCCACCUUCCUGCCGGGGACGGGCUCCUGGGCUUAACUGUUCGGGACUCGGAGUCGGCGAUGUUACUUUGAGUAAAAUAGAGUGUUCAAAGCAGGCCUACGCUCUGAAUAUAUUAGCAUGGAAUAACACGAUAGGACUCUGGCCUAUCUGUUGGUCUGUGGGACCGGAGUAAUGAUUAAGAGGGACAGUCGGGGGCAUUUGUAUUCCGUUGUCAGAGGUGAAAUUCUUGGAUUUACGGAAGACAAACAUCUGCGAAAGCAUUUGCCAAGGAUGUUUUCAUUGAUCAAGAACGAAAGUUGGGGGCUCGAAGACGAUUAGAUACCGUCGUAGUCUCAACCAUAAACGAUGCCGACUAGGGAUUGGCAGAUGUUCCAUUGAUGACUCUGCCAGCACCUUAUGAGAAAUCAAAGUUUUUGGGUUCCGGGGGGAGUAUGGUCGCAAGGCUGAAACUUAAAGGAAUUGACGGAAGGGCACCACCAGGCGUGGAGCCUGCGGCUUAAUUUGACUCAACACGGGGAAACUUACCAGGUCCAGACACGGGAAGGAUUGACAGAUUGAGAGCUCUUUCUUGAUUCUGUGGGUGGUGGUGCAUGGCCGUUCUUAGUUGGUGGGUUGCCUUGUCAGGUUGAUUCCGGUAACGAACGAGACCUCAGCCUGCUAAAUAGUCAGCAUUGCACCUGCAGUGCGCAGACUUCUUAGAGGGACUAUGGGCGUUUAGCCCAUGGAAGUAUGAGGCGAUAACAGGUCUGUGAUGCCCUUAGAUGUUCUGGGCCGCACGCGCGCUACACUGAUGCGACCAACGAGCCUAUCCUUGGCCGAGAGGCCCGGGUAAUCUUGUAAACCGCAUCGUGAUGGGGAUAGAUUAUUGCAAUUAUUAGUCUUCAACGAGGAAUGCCUAGUAAGCGCGAGUCAUCAGCUCGCGUUGAUUACGUCCCUGCCCUUUGUACACACCGCCCGUCGCUCCUACCGAUUGGGUGUGCUGGUGAAGUGUUCGGAUUGGCUUAGCUUGGGGCAACCUGGGCUUUGCUGAGAAGUUCAUUAAACCCUCCCACCUAGAGGAAGGAGAAGUCGUAACAAGGUUUCCGUAGGUGAACUGCGGAAGGAUCAUUGAAUCUAUCACAAUCCACUCCUGUGAACUUGCUUGUUGGCCUCCGUUUCGGCGGGUCGGCUCGUUCGGAUUAAGUUCUGUUCGGGCUGGGGCCUUGCAUUAACCCUCGGGUUGAUGUGGGGUCGGUCUCUUAUUAACAACCAACACCAAACCAAACUAUAAAAAAACCGAGAAGGGCUUAGAGCCUGGACUCACUAACCAAGACAACUCUGAACAACGGAUAUCUUGGCUAGCACAACGAUGAAGAACGCAGCGAAAUGCGAUACGUAGUGUGAAUUGCAGAAAUACGUGAACCAUCGAAUCUUUGAACGCAAAUUGCGCUCGCGGUUUCGGCCAAGAGCAUGUCUGCCUCAGCGUCGGGUUAAUACUCGCCAAAACUCUCCCUAGGAGAGUCUAAGCGGACCUGGCUUUCCCGAUUCCAUUCAGUUGGAGUCGGGUUUGCUGAAGAACAGAGGUUGACGCAUGGACCCGAUAUGGGCCUCAACUGGGUAGGCAAUUCGUUGCUGAUGCUUUAGUUGAUGGCUUAGGGACUGUGCAAUGUCGGCCCAAACCAGGAAGCCGAGCUUGCUCGGCAACAACCCAUUUUCUCGACCUGAGCUCAGGCAAGAUUACCCGCUGAACUUAAGCAUAUCAAUAAGCGGAGGAAAAGAAACAAACAUGGAUUCCCCUAGUAACGGCGAGCGAAGCGGGAAUAGCCCAACUUGAAAAUCUCCCUUUGGAGAAUUGUAGUCUAGAGAAGCGCCCUCUGGGUCAAGCGGAGCUCAAGUCGGAUCGAAUGCCCCGUCAGAGAGGGUGAUAACCCCGUCGGUUCCUGUCUUGAUCCUUCACGAGGUGCUUUCCACGAGUCGGGUUGUUUGGGAAUGC